GUAGGUGGCAAGCGUUGUCCGGAAUUAUUGGGCGUAAAGCGCGCGCAGGCGGUCCUUUAAGUCUGAUGUGAAAGCCCACGGCUCAACCGUGGAGGGUCAUUGGAAACUGGGGGACUUGAGUACAGAAGAGGAAAGCGGAAUUCCAAGUGUAGCGGUGAAUGCGUAGAGAUUUGGAGGAACACCAGUGGCGAAGGCGGCUUUCUGGUCUGUAACUGACGCUGAGGCGCGAAAGCGUGGGGAGCAAACAGGGAUUAGAUACCCUGGUAGUCCACGCCGUAAACGAUGAGUGCUAAGCGUUAGGGGGUUUCCGCCCCCUUAGUGCUGCAGCUAACGCAUUAAGCACUCCGCCUGGGGAUACGGCCGCAAGGCUG
rnacentral:rRNA from 1 species